GUAUUCUACACCCUUUCAUUUCACAACUCUCUAACCGGAUACAAGCUUUGGAUUCAUGUCUUUAUUCGGCUUCAAAUAUGCUUUCUUUCGGAUGCCUAAAGAAGUUGGCAUUGAAGAAAAGACAAACCUGAAGAAAGUACAAGUACACGUGGACUUGAUUCUAAGCUUGAGGUGUCAACUAGAAGAAUUAAGUCUCGGAAGAAAAGGAAAUGAAAGAUUAUGUGCUAUUUUGUUAUGCUUGUAAUGCUGACAGAUUAUGUGCCACAUUUCAUAGUAUGUU